rnacentral:rRNA from 1 species
UACGGGGGGAGCAAGCGUUGUUCGGAUUUACUGGGCGUAAAGGGCGGGUAGGCGGCCACCGCAAGUCAGUUGUGAAAUCUCUGGGCUUAACCCAGAAAGGUCAACUGAUACUGCGGGGCUAGAGUGCAGAAGGGGCAACUGGAAUUCUCGGUGUAGCGGUGAAAUGCGUAGAUAUCAAGAGGAACACCUGAGGUGAAGACGGGUUGCUGGGCCGACACUGACGCUGAGUGCGCGAAAGCCAGGGGAGCAAACGGG